rnacentral:rRNA from 1 species
AUUGAACGCUGGCGGCAUGCUUUACACAUGCAAGUCGAACGGUAACAGGCCGCAAGGUGCUGACGAGUGGCGAACGGGUGAGUAAUGCAUCGGAACGUGCCCAGUCGUGGGGGAUAACGCAGCGGAAGCUGCGCUAAUACCGCAUACGAUCUAUGGAUGAAAGCGGGGGACCGUAAGGCCUCGCGCGAUUGGAGCGGCCGAUGUCAGAUUAGGUAGUUGGUGGGGUAAAGGCCUACCAAGCCAACGAUCUGUAGCCGGUCUGAGAGGACGACCAGCCACACUGGGACUGAGACACGGCCCAGACUCCUACGGGAGGCAGCAGUGGGGAAUUUUGGACAAUGGGCGCAAGCCUGAUCCAGCAAUGCCGCGUGCAGGAAGAAGGCCUUCGGGUUGUAAACUGCUUUUGUACGGAACGAAACGGUCCGGGUUAAUACCCUGGGCUAAUGACGGUACCGUAAGAAUAAGCACCGGCUAACUACGUGCCAGCAGCCGCCGUAACAC